CAGGAUCCUGCCAGGACAGCCCGAGUGCCAGUGGCCGGAGGGGACAGCAGGCUGCCCAUGCAGGGAGGUGGGUUUGCAGCAGUCUCACUCCAAAACUCUUCUGCUUUUUCUCUCUCUCUCUCUCCCUCUCUCUGCCUCUCCUUUCUGUCAUCUUCCCCCUUUCCCCUCCUGCUUCCUCUCUCUCUCCUGCAGCUACGAAUCCUCUGCUGAAAUCUUGCCACACACACCAAGACUUACCCACUUCCCCACCGUGUCCGGCUCGCCGGCCAGCCUUGCUGAUUCCAUGCAGCAGAAACUGUCCUGCCCCCGCCGACGCCGGCAGCAAAGCCCCAGUGCCAUGUAGCGAUGGCAGGCGGUGCCCGUUCUCCGUCUGUCGCUCGGGCCAGCUACGAGGAGAGCUCUACCCCCAAGGAGGUGCCGGGGGCCUCCAAAGAAGGGACGACAGAAACCUCCAAGAAGGAGAAGUGACCUUGCCCACGGGCCGUGCCCGGUGCCGCUGGGCUGGGGCCCUUCCAGACCCUCCGCCAGUGACAGACGACGAAACAAUUGUGCAAGAGCAUCGUGUUGUGUGUGUCGGAGCAGCCACCCAGGUGGGGUAUCGAUGUACGCCGCAUAGCCACCCCCCGGCCGGCCCCCCGGGGCCGCCCCGCCACCCCCCUGCCUGUUUAAUCUCCUACGGGGGUUACAAGGCGGGUGGGGGGGCAAACCACAGGCCGGUUUUUAAAUUUUGUAUUGUGCAUUUGCUUUCUCUCAUAUUAAACCAUGUCGAAGGAAGGAGCGCGGGUCUGGCAGCACCAGGGUCGGCGUCCCGGCUCCCCAGCGGCCUUGUUCUCCCUGUGGGGCCCGUGGCCAUUGUCCGGCUGUUUCCAAGUGACCAUCCCCUUCCCCCUCCCACUCCUCCGGCGCUUGGCCAUCCCCUGGCCCGCCUCAGCCUGGCCCCCCCCUCUCUGCAACACCCAGAUUUAGUGCCGUACUCGCUGACCCCCGGGCGGUUUUGAGCCCCCGAGCGGGGAUCAGGGUGCGGGAAGGCGGUGAGAUGGGGACGUGCUCUGCCUCAGCUGCUGGGGGGGGCUCAGUGAGCCCCCACGGCCUGGGGGAGCAGUUGUGGGAGGGAGAGCGCCGGGUGACCCCAAACCCAGCCCCGGAGUGGGGUGAGGAGAGGCAGGGCUGUCCCUCCCCUCCUUGUAGGGAGCCUGGCGCCAGCCUGCAGCCCCUGGGGCUGGGACAGGCGGGGGGUGGGGGGCAGCACAGGCAGGGGGGGCUGCAGAGGCUGCAGGCAGGAGCAGCUCCAGCAGCCGCCUCAGCUCCCACUGGGGCCAGCGGCCGCAUGUCCCGCAGCAGCGCGGUGUCCUCGGGGCGGGCGUGCGGGGGAUCCGGCGUCCCUCCGCCCGUGCCCGCUGCCAGAAUAAAUAGAAAGUGUUUGCCGGCCCGGCAGCCCCUCCACAAAAGCCGUAUUGAACCAUUAUUCCCUGCGUUGGCUGCGAGCACUAAAAGUGGCGCCUCGUGUUCUGCCAUCUAAUGACCCUGCGCAGUCUCCUGCAGAUGUUUUCGAUGACUUACAGCUCCUUUUCCAACAGCCCCGUCCGCAAAAACAAGAGGGGCCACUUUAAUUCCAAUUAAAUACCUCCAGCUAAGCAAACA
rnacentral:lncRNA from 1 species